GAUGAACUCUAGCUACAGGCUUAACACAUGCAAGUCGAGUGGCAGCAUUUUAGUUUGCUUGCAAACUGAAGAUGGCGACCGGCGCACGGGUGAGUAACACGUAUCCAACCUGCCGAUAACUCCGGGAUAGCCUUUCGAAAGAAAGAUUAAUACCGGAUGGCAUACGAAUAUCGCAUGAUAUUUUUAUUAAAGAAUUUCGGUUAUCGAUGGGGAUGCGUUCCAUUAGUUUGUUGGCGGGGUAACGGCCCACCAAGACUACGAUGGAUAGGGGUUCUGAGAGGAAGGUCCCCCACAUUGGAACUGAGACACGGUCCAAACUCCUACGGGAGGCAGCAGUGAGGAAUAUUGGUCAAUGGGCGAGAGCCUGAACCAGCCAAGUAGCGUGAAGGAUGAAGGCUCUAUGGGUCGUAAACUUCUUUUAUAUGGGAAUAAAGUUUUCCACGUGUGGAAUUUUGUAUGUACCAUAUGAAUAAGGAUCGGCUAACUCCGUGCCAGCAGCCGCGGUAAUACGGAGGAUCCGAGCGUUAUCCGGAUUUAUUGGGUUUAAAGGGAGCGUAGGUGGAUUGUUAAGUCAGUUGUGAAAGUUGCGGCUCAACCGUAAAAUUGCAGUUGAAACUGGCAGUCUUGAGUACAGUAGAGGUGGGCGGAAUUCGUGGUGUAGCGGUGAAAUGCUUAGAUAUCACGAAGAACUCCGAUUGCGAAGGCAGCUCACUAGACUGUCACUGACACUGAUGCUCGAAAGUGUGGGUAUCAAACAGGAUUAGAUACCCUGGUAGUCCACACAGUAAAACGAGGAAUACUCGCUGUUUGCGAUAUACAGUAAGCGGCCAAGCGAAAGCAUUAAGUAUUCCACCUGGGGAGUACGCCGGCAACGGUGAAACUCAAAGGAAUUGACGGGGGCCCGCACAAGCGGAGGAACAUGUGGUUUAAUUCGAUGAUACGCGAGGAACCUUACCCGGGCUUAAAUUGCAACAGAAUAUAUUGGAAACAGUAUAGCCGUAAGGCUGUUGUGAAGGUGCUGCAUGGUUGUCGUCAGCUCGUGCCGUGAGGUGUCGGCUUAAGUGCCAUAACGAGCGCAACCCUUAUCUUUAGUUACUAACAGGUGAUGCUGAGGACUCUAGAGAGACUGCCGUCGUAAGAUGUGAGGAAGGUGGGGAUGACGUCAAAUCAGCACGGCCCUUACGUCCGGGGCUACACACGUGUUACAAUGAGGGGUACAGAAGGCGGCUACCUGGUGACAGGAUGCUAAUCCCAAAAACCUCUCUCAGUUCGGAUCGAAGUCUGCAACCCGACUUCGUGAAGCUGGAUUCGCUAGUAAUCGCGCAUCAGCCAUGGCGCGGUGAAUACGUUCCCGGGCCUUGCACA
rnacentral:rRNA from 1 species